UAGCUGACAUUUUAGUUAGGAAAUUCUUUACCUUACAGAAAUUGCUUCAUAUGCUCUUUUUUUUUUUUUUCUUAAUACGAGGUUACCACUUAAAAUACUGAAUCACUUCUUUUGUUGUCAUUCCAAGGCUAAGUUUGUUAAAAUAUAAAAUGAAUAACUGAGCCUUAGCACCUAUUUCUUACUUAGAGGGCACGCAAGUAUUUCUGUUAAAAGUAAACCAAGAUACUGGACAACUGUACAGAAAACUAAGGAAGUAAAGACAUUGGAAGGAAGGACACUGUAAAGGAGCCAACUUUCUGGAUCUACAACAAAACAUGAGCCCUGUAUGCACAGAGCACUGUUUUUGAAGAUUACAUCCAGGAGACAUCUGUUCAGCAACAACAACUGAAUGAAUUAGCAUUUCUUUAGAGUGGUGGCACAACAUAAUGAUUUUGGAAAACAAACAAAGUUAGCUGAAGAACUGUUCAAUUUCUGUUUACCUCUUGGUAUAGUGAGGACUAGGACAUAAAACUGACAAAACGUGUUGUGUUUUUUUUUCCACCCACCUUCAUGGCAUGCAUAAGCAAGUAAUCGUGGAAAUAAUGAGACGCCCAUAAUUAAAGCAUUGUCAUGGGCCUACAAAAACACUCUCUGACACAGACUUCCUCUGUAACUGGAAGCAACUCAUCUCCUGACACAGUUUCUCGUCUAUGAAGCAAAACUUCUUGCCUUUCCUAUCUUUAAAAAGGGCAAUGAAGAUGACCCAGGAAACUACAGGCCAGUCAGCUUCACCUCAGUCCCUGAGAAGGGGAUAGAGCAACUAGUCCUGGGAACCAUUUCCCUGUAAUGAAGAACAAGCAGCUCAUAUCAAGGGCAGUCAGCGUGGAUUCAGUAAGCCCAAGUCAUGCCUGACCAACCUGACAACAACCUCCUAUGAUGAAAUGACCAGCCUAGUAGAAGAAGGUGAGGAAGUGGAUGUCGGCUACCUGGACUUCAGUAAGACUUUGAUACUGUCUCCCAUAAGACCCUCAUAGACAAGCUGUUGAAUGGGCUGGAUGAGCAGACUGUAAGGUAAAUCAAAAAUUGGCUGAAUAGCCAGACCCAGAGGGUGGUGAUCAGUGACACGAAGGUCAGUAACUAGCAAUAUACACCAGGGGUCAAUACUGGUCCAGUCCUGAUCAUCGUCAUCAUCAUACCUACUGCAAGGCUGCUGCUGACACAAAACUGGGAGGAGUGGCUAGUAUGCCAGAGAGUUGUGCUGCCUGCCACAGGAACCUCAACAGGUUGGUGGAGUGGGGUGACAGAGGUCUCAUCGAGUUCAACAAGGAGAAGCACACAUCCUUAAUUUUUUAAGUGAAAUAGAGGCAUUCUUUCAGAGACAACAGACUGUACUUCUAAAGGCUCACCUUUGUAUUUUAACUCAAAACCCUUGCUCAAUUAGGGUCCUAAUUUCUCUACCAACAUUUCCAAGUCAGUAUUUCCUUAUGCGCACACUGUAUUCAAGUCACAGCCUUCUCCUGGCAUCAAGCUGUUAAAAUGAAUUCAUAGCAAGAGCAUGCCCAGAGCCACAAUCAUCUGUUAAACUACAUAUUUCUCCAAGAAUUCAAAUUUUAACUAUUUUUGAACAUCAAAUUGUUUCAGAAUGCUAGCUACAGAAGAACUCACUCACUCAAAGAGAAACAAUAUGCAGAAAUCACAUGACAAAAGAAGAAAAAUUAUUUAGUUAGGGAUGCGCUGUUGGCCUGACAAAUAAAAAGGGAAGAAUUGUCCACAGAAAAAAUAUAUGAACAAAAAUAUAAUCCUACUUCUAUAUCCCUAUGAUCUAUUUUAUUCACUUUUGUUUUAUUUUUUUAUUUUUCUUUUUAAAUGUUCUAUUGCAGUUCUCUGACCAGAGAUCCUUUGCUUUGCUACAGGUGCUAAAAAAUAUUUAUACACUUUAAUUUAGUUGGCAACUACCAGAGUGUAGGUAAAGUAGCCUUACGAGAUCUUGAAGCAAUCUAGGAGAUACUUACUUCUUUUCUAAUCUGAAGCCCUUCAGGGCAUGUACAUAUAAAGCACUAACGUGUCAAAAGUAUGGUGAACAUGUAUACUGCCUUAUGUAAAGACAAAAGUUUUUUGUUUUCUUGGUUUUUCUGGUUUCUUUGGCUUAUAUAUUCAAAAAUACAGAAGUGCUUUUUGUAUACAAUUUAGUCUUUCCUUGUUAAAUUAAGUACAUUAUUUUGCUAGUAUUUCCAUUGUUAGUGGUAGGCAGCUGGUAGAAAGAGCUCUGAAGGGUAUAACUGAAGUGUGAAAGGCAAAAAAGCUAUUUAGUAUAACAUAAUACAACUCUUCCUAGCUUGCAUGACCCUUGAAGUAAUUUUUUAAAUUUAAGGUGGAUAAUAUGCCAAGUUAUUCUUCAGACUGGAUAGAAUCAGAUCAUGUUUUGAUCAAGGUGAGGGCCGGAGGGACAACACAAGUCUUCUUCCUCUAUUGCUUUUGUAUAUAGCACGAUUGGUACAUACAAUGUACAUAUAUCUGCAUAAAUCACAUUAACUCAAUCAACUAGUUAUUUGUAUGUCUGAAGCCUAGAACAAUAUGCAAGUCAUGCAAGGACGCAAAGAUCCCAACUGGAUCAUGCUCAGGAUAUAGCCAUAAAGUUCCAACAUUUCCUAAUAGAAAAAAAAAAAGUCAUACAGACAGAUAGCUGCUCUAAAAGUGAAAGUAGUGGAAGGUUGAACUUUCAUACCUUAUAAAGAUUUAUAAUGUAGUAUGGCAGGGGAAAAAAAUCACCUAGAAGUCUUACAGAUGUCUUUUGCCAACUUAAGCUUAACAUCUCUUUAUAAGCAGCUAGAAACCUACACAAAUCCUCAACGUGCAACGCUCCUGUAAUGCAACAGCAUCCUGAAUACACUGUUAUAUACUGCAGACCAUUGAUUUUUGUCUUGCUGUUCUGGAAAAAGGAAGUUCUAAACUGUGGAGGGGCUUCUGCUUAGCACAUACUCAGCAAGAGCUCAAUAAGGGGCUGUUCCUGUCAAGGCAAGAUUUAAUCAACAGUAUUUGAAAUGUUCUAACUGCUGUGCUAGCAGAAUUCAUCCAAACAUCUCACAGGGAGGAAGCAGACCAUGACAAAUAUUUCUUUUUACUGGCACUAUACAUAGAGAUGAACAGCUGUUACAGGGAAGUACAAACCUGCCUACUAUUUUAGGCAGAAGGACAGUCAUUCUUUGAGCUGUGCUACCUCUCUGAAGGCAGAAGUUGUUGGACUGACUUGCUCUGUGCUGCUGUUUGGCAUAACUUCGACAUCUACAAAGCAGACUUUCCAGUUUCAUGAACACUGGCCUUCCUUCUAGGUUGAAGGGCAGAAUUGUUAUAGAUUCUAUAAACCUUUCAUAGCCAGAUCGUUAAUGGCAAACCGUUUGCUAUACAAGUGUAAUAAACAUUGGAAACGCAACAAAUUUGAAUUUAAGAUAACCACAUGUAGAGAUGAUAGUGCGGAGAAUGUUACAAUGACACAAUACAACAUCAAGGAGGCAGACACACAGUCAGUCACCCCAGAGCUGUAGGAGCUGAGGUCAAACCAGCCCUUCAGUGGCAGCAUUCCUGGUCUCACAGACUCUUGCUGCAGAGAAAGAGGGGACAGCACUGAUGGGUAGAGAUUACCCUUUGCUGUUUUAAAUUACCUUGUGUUUUAAUGCAUGGAUUCCCUCACAGCCUGCUUACAGGUCAGGUCUGCUUACUAAAACCUAUGCAGAAAACCUUUUUGCAGGGCUGCACUACAAGCAAUUACUAUUACUCAUUGCUCAGACUGCAAGCAAAUGCAUUGAAAGAGUUACUAAUUCUAAAAAACAAAAGUGUUCUGGGACGUGCAGCAACAAUAAAAUCCUCUGCUUACUGAACCACGUGAAAAUUUCAAGAAAGGGAUAGCUGUAUUAGGGGAAACACUAAAAGUUUCAGUGUCAUUCGGACAUACUAGUAUACUGAAAUAUCCACAUUAAAAAAGCAUGAAAACUAGAACUGCAUGCUGUUACUAAAGGACUUCAUCACAGGGCCUUAAAGAAUUACUUCAGCCCACAGAACAGCUUGCUUUGAAUAGCACAGAAGUAACACAAAGUAGAAAAUAGAAAAUAUACCUAUAAUACCAUGACAAGAAGGAGCAUGGGUGCCUAUAUUUUUAAAGAUUAGAAUUCAAAACUGAAUUUAAUAGCAGCUACAAAUUGGGAGUCAUGAUUCAAAACUUAAGUGUUAUGGAAACAAAACUAAAGAAACAAAGCAUUUGCCUUUGAGAUGCAAAUUAUUAAUCUGCAAAUGUUAAUGUUUUGCGUUUUGUUAUGUUUUGUUUUGUUUUUAAAUAGAAAAUUUAAACUAAGAUACUUUAUUCUUAUAUAGACUCAGAAAGACUUCAUGCAAAUUGACUCCAAACAACUUCUAAGGCAGUCUGGAAACACUAUAUUCAUUUUUUACAACACUCCAGAACGAGUAUCUGAAGAGAAAUUUGAUUUGAAAUUACACAUUCUCCUUAGUUCUCUCCACACGCACAUAUGUAUUUGUCCAAAGAAAAAUUCCUCCAUUUGCUUUAAAAUUCAAGAUGUGGCAAAAUGAAUUUGACACAGACAACUAUACAUUUGUGCACACAUAUACAACCUUCCCCCUGCACAUCUCCACCACGAGCAGGCACGUAAAUCAAGUGUGUGCGUACAGAGACCUUAACUAGACACACACCUGGCCCCUGCCAAUGUUGAAACAGAAGUGUACACAUUUAUCAUUAUCUAUAAAUGUUGGCCAGAAAUCAAAAACAGGUUGUAGCAAAUACUAUAAGAAAGUUGUUAGAGGACUACAACCCUGAAGAGUUACAACACUUGCAACAUUAAAAAGGAUCACAAAGUAAGACAGGUACUAGAAAUAUCUCAGAAGUUUACAUCCAGAUGCACUUGCCUAAAUUUCAAGCCUGUUUUUCAGUAUUUUACUGACAAAUACACAUUUUUACUGACAAACUUGCACAUAUAAAUCACAUCGAUGAGGCUGUGUUGUCACUAUUCGUAAUCUGGUGGGCUGCAACUGUCUUACCUCAGCAGGCAUAAAGAGUGCAGCUCAGGUAACUGCUCCUCACUUGCUACUUUCCUUGCUGAAGGUUUGCAUACUUCCCUUCAGAGUAGAAUGGGAGAAUCAACUUCUGGGACCAAAGAUGGCAACGCAGGACUGGUCAAAAUGAGCGUCUUUUGAGUUAUUUCAAGUAAGAGUACACAUACACUUCAGCCUUGUUUAUUAAAGGUUUUUCAAGAAAAUAUGCAUGUCUUACAUUGGAAUGCAUUCUGGGUUUUAAAAUGUCACUCCCUCCCUGUAUUAUAGUAAUAGUUUAGCGAAAGUAUAUUAUGAUCUUCCAAGCAUAACUAAAUCCUACAACUUAAAAACCGGUGUUGCUGAGGAGUUUUGGAGUACAGCCACACACUGGCCCACAUUUACUUUCAGUGUGGGCUUCAGGGCAACAUUAUUAUGGUCAGAGCUCUACACCUUCAGACAUGCCCUUCCCUGAAAGGCCAUCGGAUUUCUUCAAACUUUCCAUAACUCUGCCUUUUCUUACAUAAUCCAAACUUGAUUAAAUGUGCUCUCUCUCUUCUGAAACACAUCUAGACCAUGGGUUGCUUCCACAAUUAUUCCCUUCUCAAAUUAUAUGUGAGAAAGCCAUAUAUAAAAGUUCUGCACUGUACUUUGAAAAGUACAGGUUGAUUUCAGACUAAGCAAGCUCAAUAGCCUGUGCCUACUGCACUACUGAAAACUAGGAAAUGAAAUUACUGUUUUUUUAACUAUUGAUAAUCGUUUUGUGGUAAAGCACACAACCUUGGGCUUCUACCUACAAUGGUUUUCUUUGAAGCUCAACUGCAUGCACUUCUCUGUAUAAAAGAUGUAUACAAAUUAAGCAGAAAAAUUAAGUAACCUUGCAGGAUGCCAGCAGCCUUCUCCUCUCCAAAACAUAAUUAUGGUAGCAUAACAACAUAUACAGCUUAAAGACUGAAAUAAAAGUCAUGCUGCCUGAGCCACUUGCCCAUCACCAGUGAAUAUUUUCUCAGAGUAUCUUCUCCCACGCUAGUUUCCUCUCUUCCAUCACCACUUAUCUCUCCUAAGUAACAUCAACCGAACUAAAUGUUGCUGGGAGAUUUUCUCUCCAGCCUUCUGAAGCUGAAGCCUAAAUUUCUCUGUUUGGUUAGGUGAGCUUGGACCAGUUGGUGUUUUCAGAACUACUAUCACCCAGCUGUUGUCUAUUAAACACAUGCAGUGGAUCAUCAUCAGUUAGUGAAGGCAACAUCAGAUCUUCUCCCACCCCCAAACUCCUCACAGGAAAAAAAAAAAAAAGGGUUGAGGGGAGGAAGGGACAGGAAAUCUCUGUUAUCAAUAGACUACAUCCUGCUAACUUCACUCACAUGAGUCUACAAGAUUACAUGCUCAGUAAAUGUUAAACUGAAACCAGAGCCUAUAAAAAUCUUCUAUUUGAUGACCAGCUGUUGCAACAUUAAAAUAGAUAAUAUUUGAGGAGAGUUAUUUAUACACAGCUAUGACUGCUCCUCGUAAUCAUCAAAUUAAAGGCAGGAGACAGACCUUUCCUCCAAACUCAGGAGGAAAAUAAUUAAUUUUUAUUUACAUAAGUCUUAACAUUAGCCUGUUCACUGGAAAGGCAAGUCUGACAUGAUGCAGAAUUGAAGAAUUGACUCUCUAACACUAACAGCAAUUACUUUAAACAAAUUACUUUAACACCAACUACAGAAAGAGAAUAUAUUUUCAUUAAAAAAGGUAACUAAAUUAAUAACUACUCAAAAAGGGGUAGACACAUAUGAAGAUUUCCAUAAUAUUCAAUUCACAAACUGUGAAUCAAAGCUUGAAAAUUGAUUUUCACAUAUCCCCAGUUUUGACCAAAGUCCUAUCUGUUCUGGAACCGCAGUCCUUCUGGGGACACCUCUCCAUUGAAAAUGGAGAUGUGAGGCACUGCAGUUCCCUAUGCUCAGGCAGGCACAGCAACAAAAACUGAUUGAUGUAGGGAGAACCAUUUCUAAUCUUAGGACACGAUCAUUUUUGAGAACAGCACUUCCUUACUCGGUAAUGCUGAAGAUAAAACUCAAUGUGACUUCUGGAAAUAAAAAAUGGAGCAUAUAAAAAAAAAGUUAAGCUUGUUAAACUUCAUAUUAAAGUUUACCUUCACCUUUCACAGCCAUUUCAAUGCUUGGGUGUAAGAACAGUGGUAUGAAUAUAGGCGUAAUCAUGAAUGAGUCAUUGCUGCCUACUGCUCAAUUUGGCACGUUUUUCAUAUGCUGUCACAAAACAUUGUUCAUAUGGGUAUCCUACCACUAUUACAUACAAUUAACUCCAAAGUGCUCUACGCUUCCAGUUUAUGUAAUAGACAUGAAACUUACUCGGUCUUCAUCCAGUCAAAAAACAAAUGAUUAAGACUGAUUAUUAAGUCAACUUUUUCUUGCUCUGUUCAAGAAACAAAAUAAAAUAAAUAAAUAAUAAAAACCUUUUUGUGGAAAUUUA